rnacentral:lncRNA from 1 species
CUUGUAGUAGAAAUGUAUAGCCUUGGACAUAAAGGCUACGGCAAAUAGCAAGCGGGAUCACAUUUUUUGCUAUCUGGGAUCCCAUCCCUGCAUUGAGGUAUGUUUUCUGACCCAUACCUCAAGCCAGCUCCAUUGUGUCGUAAUGUAACCAUGAUUGCGUUCCGACACCAGCGCAGCUCAGUGUAAACAAGCAUAAGGUAGAGUCGGAACCUGCUGGCUAGUUAUCUAAUUACUUGAUACCUGCAAUCUAAAUUACAGUACAACCAUUAAAAACUACAUUUGCCACACUUACCCUCUGGUAUUUUUUAUUUAACUAGGCAAGUCAGUUAAGAACAAAGUCUUAUCAACAAUGAUGGCUUACCGGUGAACAGUGGGUUAACUGCCUUGUUCAGGGGCAGAAUGACAGAUUUUCUUUUUUACCUUAUCAGCUCGGGGAUUUGAUCCGGCAACCUUUUGGUUACUGGACCAACGCUCUAACCACUAGGCUACCUGAUGCCCUAAACUGUUGUCUGAAAUGCAUUUAUUCUCGAAGGUGGCCAAAUUACGGUUUUCAAAGGAAUAAUCACUGCACUGGUCUCCCAAACAUCUGUCAACCAUUUUUGACACCAUUGGUUGCCAAGUAUUAACCGUCAACACGCACCUGCGCUGUGCAGAAUUUAUGGGAUGCUCGAGCUAGUAAAACACACACCACUCUUUAAAAAAUGUUUUAUUCAACCUUUAUUUAACUAAGAAAGUCAGUUAAGAAGAAAUGCUUAUUUACAAUGACGGCCUACUCCAGCCAAUCCCUAACCCGGAUGACGCUGGGCCAAUUGUGCACCGCCCUAUGGGACACCCAAUUAGGGUUGCAAAUGUAACAGUGUAGGUUCCGUCCCUCUCUUCGCCCCAACCUGGGCUCGAACCAGGGACCCUUGCACACAUCAACAACUGACACCCCCCGAAGCAUCUAACUAGCCAUUUCACAUCGGUUACACAAAGGAUCGGAAACUUUCCGGUAAAUUUCCAGAAUUAUUCCGGAAAUUUUCCAUGGGAAGUUAAGCCCUGGAAUUUGGUGCACUCUUCCAUCACAUGUACAGCGGAUUCUCAAGAUCUUGCACACUAAUGAGAUGCUAUUGAGCCCACACUACUACACUGUCUGAGCCAACGACUACAUGCUUUCUGGAAAAUGCCACGGGCACUAUGUGAUGUGUGGAGACAUUUCACUGCAGCUAAUGUAGAAGGAAAGCUGUGUACAUUUGCAAAUACAAACCAAAUCAUAUGUGAAGAAUGCAACAAUGAUGCAGAAUAAUCUGGCCAAGUGCAUAAAGUUCCCUCAGCACUCACAACCUCUGACAAAAGUCCCUAUACUUCUAUUUGAGGUGAAAAUGAUGAAUCAGACACCUUAUCGAUAGCAACAGCUCAUGGUCCUCCUGGAAUGUCUUGCUCGAGCUGUGUAUGCAACUGGUUCACCUCUGAUGCUCAAAGACCAUGUGUAUUGGAAGAGAUUUCUGAAUGUUCUUUGCUCAGCAUACACACCUCCAACCAGACAUGCUUUAUCUACUAAUUUGCUGGAUGCAGAGUUCAAGUGAAGGUCAAGCAAAUCAUAGCGAAAGCAGUCUGUAUUGCAAUCAUCUCUGAUGGGUGGACGAAUGUUUGUGGGCAAGGAAUAAUUAACUACAUCAUCUCCACCCCUCAACCAGUAUUCUAUAAGAGCACAGACACAAGGGACAACAGACACACCAGUCUCUACAUUGCAGAUGAGCUGAAGGCAGUCAUCAAUGACCUUGGACCACAGAAGGUAUUUGCACUGGUGACAGGAAAUGCUGCGAACAUGAAGGCUGCUUGGUCUAAAGUGGAGGAGUCCUACCCUCACAUCACACCCAUUGGCUGUGCUGCUCAUGCAUUAAAUCUACUCCUCAAGGACAUCAUGGCACUGAAAACAAUGGAUACACUACAAGAGAGCCAAGGAAAUGGUUAGGUAUGUGAAGGGUCAUCAAGUUAUAGCAGCAAUCUACCUCACCAAGCAAAGUGAGAAGAAUAAGAGCACUACAUUGAAGCUGCCCAGCAACACCCGUUGGGGUGGUGUUGUCAUCAUGUUUGACAGUCUCCUGGAGGGGAAGGAGUCUCUCCAAGAAAUGGCCAUGUGGACAGCCCCAUCAGGAGGAUCCUCCUGGAUGAUGUACUUUGGGAGAGAGUGGUAAGCAGCCUGAAACCUAUAGCAGUAGUCAUUGCACGUAUUGAGGGAGACAAUGCCAUUCUGUCUGAUGUUCAGACUCUGCUUGCAGAUGUAAGAGAAGAAAUCCGUACUGCCCUGCCCACUUCACUGUUGCUCCAAGCAGAGGAAACUGCAGUUCUGAAAUACAUCAAAAAGCGUGAAGACUUCUGCCUGAAGCCCAUAUACGCCGCAGCGUACAUGUUGGACCCCAAGUAUGCUGGCAAGAGCAUCCUGUCUGGUGCAGAGAUCAACAAGGCCUAUGGUGUCAUCACUACCGUGUCUCACUACCUUGGCCUGGAUGAGGUCGAGGUUCUUGGCAGUCUGGCGAUGUACACUUCCAAGCAAGGGUUUUGGGAUGGAGAUACAAUAUGGCAGUCGUGCCAACAUAUCUCAUCAGCCACCUGGUGGAAGGGACUUUGUGGAUCUGAGGCUCUUUCCCCUGUUGCCUCCAUCAUCCUCCAAAUCCCAGCAACAUCAGCCGCCUCAGAGCGCAACUGGUCCUUGUUUGGGAACACGCACACCAAAGCACGCAACAGGCUGACCAAUACAUGGGUUGAAAAAUUGGUAGCCAUCCUGGCAAAUUUGAGGCUUUUUGAGCCUGACAAGGUUGGAAAGUGACAGUGAAGAUGAGGCCUCAGAGUCUGAUGUUCAAGAGGUGGACAUUGAGGAGGUCCAGGGAGAAGACAUGGAAGCCUGAGAGGAAGACAACCAAAGCUUUAGUUUCUAGACUAUCAUUUUACAGAUGUAUGUUGAAAACGUUUUUGGGAGAUGCGAUGGAUCACUGGGGAUCAUUCAAUAUUCCCUUUCUUUUGUUGUUCAGUGAAAUCAUCCCAUGUGAAGAGUCAACUCAUUUAAUUAAAGUUCAAUUCGUAACUAAA